GCAGCGCAAAUUACCCACUCCCGGCACGGGGAGGUAGUGACGAAAAAUAACGAUACGGGACUCAUCCGAGGCCCCGUAAUCGGAAUGAGUACACUUUAAAUCCUUUAACGAGGAUCAAUUGGAGGGCAAGUCUGGUGCCAGCAGCCGCGGUAAUUCCAGCUCCAAUAGCGUAUAUUAAAGUUGUUGCGGUUAAAAAGCUCGUAGUCGAAUCUGUGUCGUGCGCCGCCGGUUCAUCGCUCGCGGUGUCAACUGGCGUGUCGCAGGACGUCCUGCCGGUGGACUCAGCUGUCCUGUCGUCGUCGUCGUCGUCGUCCUCCUCCGGGAGCGUCGUCGUCGUCGUCGGCUCGGGCGGCGGUCCAACUUUAAAAUCCCACCGCGGUGCUCUUCGCUGAGUGUCGAGGUGGGCCGGCACGUUUACUUUGAACAAAUUAGAGUGCUUAAAGCAGGCUAAAAUUUUGCCUGAAUACUGUGUGCAUGGAAUAAUGGAAUAGGACCUCGGUUCUAUUUUGUUAGUUUUCGGAACCCCGAGGUAAUGAUUAAUAGGAACGGAUGGGGGCAUUCGUAUUGCGACGUUAGAGGUGAAAUUCUUGGAUCGUCGCAAGACGGACUUAAGCGAAAGCAUUUGCCAAAAACGCUUUCAUUGAUCAAGAACGAAAGUUAGAGGUUCGAAGGCGAUCAGAUACCGCCCUAGUUCUAACCAUAAACGAUGCCAGCUAGCGAUCCGUCGACGUUCCUCCGAUGACUCGACGGGCAGCUUCCGGAAACCAAAGCUG
rnacentral:rRNA from 1 species